rnacentral:tRNA from 1 species
GGCCCCGUAGCUCAGUUGGAUAGAGCACCAGAUUCCUAAUCUGGGGGCCACAGGUUCGAAUCCUGUCGGGGUCACCA